GGGAUCUUGAUUGAAAGCUGUCAUUUCCUGUUUUCUAUUAUAUAUAAAUGUACAAACUAUAAGUAUUAUAUUAAAUUUUUUAGACACUGGCUCUAUGGAGAGAGAAUAAAGAACAAUUCAGAAAGAAACUCAGGAAAACAUCAACAGAAGGGCUGGUUCCCCAGAAAGUGUGUUGUAGAGUUUACCAGCAUUCACUGUGAUGUUACCAAAAUACAGAAAAAAUACCAGUGAGAACUUUGUUAGAUUUGGUGAAUGCCACAGAAUAACCUUGAGAGGCAUAUCUGUUCAUAAAGGGUUGUGCACUGUAAUGUUUUAUUGUUAAUUUUAAGUUAACAUCAGAUUACGAUACAUUUUUAUCCAAAUAAACAUUAUUGUGCUAGGUGUUAUUUAGACUCCGACUGGUCAAUUUGGUUUUGAAAUAAAUGUAAUUUUUUUUGUCAUAUGGUUGAUGAUUUUCGUACUCUUUGGGAAAAGAUUCCAGUUAAUUGAAUGUGGUUGCUGGAAAAAAUAGUUUAACUCUAAAUAUAAUAUGUUUACUAAAGCAUUUAAGUUUUGUCUUCAAUAUACAAAAGACCUAUCCAUUCUUACCCAUAAAAUACAGUUCAGCAUUGUUUGUAUGAAUGAAUACUAAUAAGUCUUCAGUUUCCUUUAUUGAAUGAAUUCAACAGACAAACAAAUAGCAAAUUAUAAUAGACAGAUGAAACAAAAGAAAAAUUAACAUCUCCGAAAGUCCUUGGAACAGUUUAAUGUUAAAAAUUUUAAUUUAACUAUCCAUCACUGUCUGUAUCUCCAGGUAAUUUCUAAAUGCAGUUAGUUUCAGAAUACCAUAUUAAGCUUUAAAAUAUUUUAUUUUAAAAAUAUUACACAUUCAACCUGUUUAUUCUUAGCAAAAUAACACACUUUACCCGAUUCAUUUGGUUACUAUAUUAGUGAUCAUGACCUUGAAAAAUUUAUUUAAAUUAACAUUUACAUUAUAUUGGGAACACAAAUAUUCAGAACAUUAGACAUUUCAAAGCCAGCAAAUAUAUGCUACAAUUGGCUUUCCUUUAACUGUGUGUUUAAAACAAACUAGUAAGGCUAAUUUCAUUUUCUAACAAUGUCACUAAAAAACUUUCAUGGCAGUAGAAAUUUGCACUAUAUUGUGUACUUCAAGAAUGUACAUAGACAAAAAUAUUUUUUAAAUUUAUAACAAUCUUUUCAUUUAUGUGUAUGUAUUUAUACAAUUUAAAAUAGAUUCCUAGUAACUUGUAGUAGUCAAUGAGAUUAUUACUUUCUCUACCAUGAGACAUUUUCUUGUUUGGUUACUUGUAAAUACUGAAAGUGAUUAAGUGUAAUGUUUACGUACUGUUACAUGUACAAUAAUUUUUUCUUUUUGUAUUGAAUCAUAAUCAGUCGUUAUUGAAAUAUUUAAUAGAGAAAAUAAAACUCUUAGCAUUUUUUAGGUA